CCUACGGGUGGCAGCAGUGAGGAAUAUUGGUCAAUGGGCGUAAGCCUAAACCAGCCAAGUCGCGUGAGGGAUGAAGGUUCUAUGGAUCGUAAACCUCUUUUAUAAGGGAAUAAAGUGCGGGACGUGUCCCGUUUUGUAUGUACCUUAUGAAUAAGGAUCGGCUAACUCCGUGCCAGCAGCCGCGGUAAUACGGAGGAUCCGAGCGUUAUCCGGAUUUAUUGGGUUUAAAGGGAGCGUAGGCGGCCGUUUAAGUCAGUGGUGAAAGUUUGUGGCUCAACCAUAGAAUUGCCGUUGAAACUGGGAGUCUUGAGUAUAUCUGAGGCAGGCGGAAUGCGUGGUGUAGCGGUGAAAUGCUUAGAUAUCACGCAGAACCCCGAUUGCGAAGGCAGCUUGCCAGGCCAUGACUGACGCUGAUGCACGAAAGCGUGGGGAUCAAACAGGAUUAGAUACCCCAGUAGUC
rnacentral:rRNA from 1 species